AUUGAACGCUGGCGGCAUGCUUUACACAUGCAAGUCGAACGGCAGCACAGGGAGCUUGCUCCUGGGUGGCGAGUGGCGAACGGGUGAGUAAUGUAUCGGAACAUGCCUGGUAGUGGGGGAUAACUACUCGAAAGAGUGGCUAAUACCGCAUGAGAUCUUUGGAUGAAAGCGGGGGACCUUCGGGCCUCGUGCUACUGGAGCGGCCGAUAUCAGAUUAGGUUGUUGGUGGGGUAAAGGCCUACCAAGCCUGCGAUCUGUAGCUGGUCUGAGAGGACGACCAGCCACACUGGGACUGAGACACGGCCCAGACUCCUACGGGAGGCAGCAGUGGGGAAUUUUGGACAAUGGGCGCAAGCCUGAUCCAGCAAUGCCGCGUGCAGGACGAAGGCCUUCGGGUUGUAAACUGCUUUUGUACAGAACGAAAAGUCUCUGGCUAAUAUCUAGAGAUCAUGACGGUACUGUAAGAAUAAGCACCGGCUAACUACGUG
rnacentral:rRNA from 1 species